rnacentral:rRNA from 1 species
GGAGGGGCCCGCGUCGGAUUAGGUAGUUGGUGGGGUAACGGCCUACCAAGCCUGUGAUCCGUAGCUGGUCUGAGAGGAUGAUCAGCCACACUGGGACUGAGACACGGCCCAUACUCCUACGGGAGGCAGCAGUGGGGAAUAUUGGACAAUGGGCGCAAGCCUGAUCCAGCAAUGCCGCGUGAGUGAGGAAGGCCUUCAGGUUGUGAAGCUCUCUCGGCGGGGACGAUGAUGACGGUACCCGCAUAAGAAGCCCCGGCUAACUUCGUGCCAGCAACCGCGGUAAUACGAAGGGGGCGAGCGUUGUUCUGAUUUACUGGGCGUAAAGGGCGCGCAGGCGGCGAGUUUUGUCAGGCGUGAAAGCCCCGGGCUCAACCUGGGAAUUGCGCUUGAAACGUCCUUGCUAGAGAUGUGGAGAGGAGAGUGGAAUUCCCAGUGUAGAGGUGAAAUUCGUACAUGUUGUGAAGAACACCGGUGCCCACGGCGGCUCUAUAGACUGAUACUCACGCUGAGGUGCUCAAGCGUGGGGAGCCUACAGGAUUAGAUAGCGUGGUAGUCCACGCUGUCUACGAUGUGUGCUACACGUUGCGGAGCCUACCUCGUCAACGACGCAGCUAACUCCA